UUGGCAGAUAAUUCGACCGGUGAUUGCCAUAUUUAUCAUCCCCAAAGGAGUGACUGUUCCGUAUCCGGAGAAAUAUUGACGCCGUGUACAUCAGUUUGGCAUCAUUAUGGGGAUAUAGGAGACGAUGUCAAAAUCGAGUACAAGCCUUCGAGGAAGAACAGCAGACGAUCGAGGAAAUGGAAUUUUUCAAUUAAAUAUGAAUACAUUAAAUGUGAAGCGGAUCAACAAAACCUUGGCGCAGUUGGGGCUGCAAUUACCUUUGGAAUAAUUUCUGCAUUGGAAGCAUUGGUGCUGAUUGCUGUCGCACUGAGAUACAAAAAAGGAAGAAACAUUGACGCCCGUGGCAACAAUGCAACUGUCGCUCCAUCAACCAACACACACGAAGCAAGAGAUUGUGGUGGAGAUUUGGACCCUGAUCCAGUUUACCAAACUGUUGAA